AAAAGAAACUAACAAGGAUUCCCCUAGUAGCGGCGAGCGAAGCGGGAAGAGCUCAAAUUUAUAAUCUGGCGCUUUCAGCGUCCGAGUUGUAAUCUCUAGAAGUGUUUUCCGCGUUGGACCGCACAUAAGUCUGUUGGAAUACAGCGGCACAGUGGUGAGACCCCCGUAUACGGUGCGGAUGCCCAAUGCUUUGUGAUACACUUUCGAAGAGUCGAGUUGUUUGGGAAUGCAGCUCAAAUUGGGUGGUAAAUUCCAUCUAAAGCUAAAUAUUGGCGAGAGACCGAUAGCGAACAAGUACCGUGAGGGAAAGAUGAAAAGCACUUUGGAAAGAGAGUUAACAGUACGUGAAAUUGUUGGAAGGGAAACGCUUGAAGUCAGACUUGCUUUUCGGGGUUUACUCCGGUUGGCAGGCCAGCAUCAGUUUUCCGGGGCGGAAAAUCACGGUUAGAAGGUAGCAGUUUCGGCUGUGUUAUAGCUUUCCGUUGGAUACGUCCUGGGGGACUGAGGAACGCAGUGUGCUUUUAGCGAGGGCUUCGGCCCUUUCACACUUUAGGAA
rnacentral:rRNA from 1 species